rnacentral:rRNA from 1 species
ACCAGGAUUCUCUUAGUACGGCGAGUGAACAGAGAUUAGCCCAGCACCGAAGCCUAUAGUCUACUAUAAGGCAAUGUGGUGUUUAAAGUUGCAUCAGAUUCUAAACUUAGAUCUUAAGUACGCAUGUGAAAGCGGCUUGCUCAGGAAGGUGGAAGUCCUGUUUACGAUUUAAGUUUAAGUUUCUUUUGCUUCUUUUGGAGUCGGAUUGUUUGAGAAUGCAAUCCAAAGUUGGUGGUAAACUCCAUCAAAGGCUAAAUACCUGUGUGAGUCCGAUAGUCGACAAGUACCGUGAGGGAAAGUUGAAAAGUACUCUAAAUAGAGAGUAAAAAGUACGUGAAACCAUAAAGAGGUAAACGGAGAGAGUCAAGCUUUUAG